AGGAUGUGAAAGAGAUACAGAUGACUGCAAUUAAGCAAUAUCGAGCAUUUGGUAAAUUUUGAUUCUGCCCUCCCAAAUAUCUUACGUGAUUUAUUUUUUGAACUUGGACUUGAACUACUUUGUGCGCUGACAAUGUAAAUUGAGUAGUAGUGCUUGUUUUAGUUACCUGAAUUCAAGGGCAUCUGACUUCUGACUGUUGAAGUGUAUAUUAAUAUCUUUGAUAAUUUGGGCUUCUCUUUUGUUCAGAAGUUUAUAAUGGCCUCUGAAGUGGAGAAUUUCAGGUGGAAAUAUAUGUUGCACUUCCAUUAAUUCAGUAAACUUUACGUAUUUAAUGGAAAAGGGGAAGUAUGAGCUUGAAGAUAGAAGAAAGCUAUAAAAACAAGUAUCGGUUCCAUGACUAAUGUGUUUCCCCUAUCAUAUAUCAUUCACAUAACGGAUUUGUUGCAAACACAAGGGGAGCUCAAAACACAAGAAAUCUGCUUAAAAGGCAGUCAAGGGAGCAAAUGUAUUGAAAAAAGAAACUAAAGAGGAAUACAAAUCCCCCCAACAGAUACAGGUCUCACACCCUUUUUUCCUUAGUCCUUCCCAUGAAAAGGGGAGUGCUUUAUGGGUUUGGUAAAAGCUUUUAUUAGAAUGAAAUGGCUCAUGGUAAGAAUCCAAGGUCUUGAUAAAGAGAUGAGAAAACCUCCAACCUGCUCCUAACUUGAUGCAUCCAACCAGUUACAGACUAAAGAUUGGUGCAGUUCCUCCAACAGAUACAGGUGGUACCCCCGAAAGCAUUGCAUAAAUUGGGGUUUCCAAAUAAUUGUACAUCGAAAAGCACCUCUAUCUCUUAUUGGGGAAAGGGUGGUUGGAACUUGGAAGGGACCUCUGUCCACAUGAGGGUCUACAUCAGUUAUAGAUUUUCAUGACUAGAAGAAAAUACAGAUUUAAUUGGUUUAGCCUUCUUAGUUAGGGUCCAUGUAUUAAUUGUUAUCUGAAAUUUGGUUCUCAUGUAGGCUAUACAUUAGAUCUUAUAUGUACACUUCUUGUAGGGUGAACUGGUGAAGGUGGAAUACGCAUUCAAUUUCCAAAGUA